UUUAGUUACCGGAAAGAUCUUUAUCUUUUGACUGGUCGAUAGUUGGAAAGUGAUUAUUUUAAUUAAGUGUAUGUUAAGUACACCACACCAACUGGGAAAGAGCCUUCGGGCUUUUUUUCAUGG
rnacentral:sRNA from 1 species